rnacentral:rRNA from 1 species
UACAGAGGGGGCAAGCGUUGUUCGGAAUUACUGGGCGUAAAGGGCGCGUAGGCGGCCUUCGUAAGUCGAACGUGAAAUCCCCGGGCUCAACCCGGGAACUGCGUCCGAUACUGGAAGGCUUGAAUCCGGGAGAGGGAUGCGGAAAUUCCAGGUGAGCGGUGGAAAUGCGUAGAUAUCUGGAGGAACACCGGUGGCGAAGGCGCAUCCUGGACCGGCAUUGACGCUGAGGCGCGGAAAGCCAGG